rfam:Triticum urartu cultivar G1812 contig62109, whole genome shotgun sequence.
UUGGUACUCCCUUUGUCCGGAAAUACUUGUCAAAGAAAUAGAUAUAUCUAGAUUUAUUUUAGUUCUAGAUGCAUUCACUUUUAUCCAUUUAUGCGACAAAUAAUUUCGGACGAAGGGAGUAUAAU